rnacentral:tRNA from 2 species
GGACUAGUAGUUCAAUAGAUUAGAACACAACACUGAUAAGGUUGAGAUGUGCGUUUGAAUCCCACCUAGUCCA